rnacentral:rRNA from 1 species
GCGAUAAGCGCCGGUAAGGUGAUAUGAACCGUUAUAACCGGCGAUACCCGAAUGGGGAAACCCAGUGUGAUUCGUCACACUAUCAUUAACUGAAUCCAUAGGUUAAUGAGGCGAACCGGGGGAACUGAAACAUCUAAGUACCCCGAGGAAAAGAAAUCAACCGAGAUUCCCCCAGUAGCGGCGAGCGAACGGGGAGGAGCCCAGAGCCUGAAUCAGCAUGUGUGUUAGUGGAAGCGUCUGGAAAGGCGCGCGAUACAGGGUGACAGCCCCGUACACAAAAGCGCAUGUGCUGUGAGCUCGAUGAGUAGGGCGGGACACGUGGUAUCCUGUCUGAAUAUGGGGGGACCAUCCUCCAAGGCUAAAUACUCCUGACUGACCGAUAGUGAACCAGUACCGUGAGGGAAAGGCGAAAAGAACCCCGGCGAGGGGAGUGAAAAAGAACCUGAAACCGUGUACGUAC